GACGAACGCUGGCGGCGUGCUUAACACAUGCAAGUCGAACGGAAAGGCCCUGCUUUUGUGGGGUGCUCGAGUGGCGAACGGGUGAGUAACACGUGUGUAACCUGCCCUUGUCUUUGGGAUAACUUCUGGAAACUGGGGCUAAUACCGGAUAGGAGCUCCUGCUGCAUGGUGGGGGUUGGAAAGUUUCGGCGGUUGGGGAUGGACUCGCGGCUUAUCAGCUUGUUGGUGGGGUAGUGGCUUACCAAGGCUUUGACGGGUAGCCGGCCUGAGAGGGUGACCGGCGACAUUGGGACUGAGAUACGGACCAGAAUGCAACGGGAGGCAGCAGUGGGGAAUAUUGCAGAAUGGGCGGAAGCCUGAUGCAGAAACGCCGCGUGCGGGAUGACGGCCUUCGGGUUGUAAACCGAUUUGGCCUGUGACGAAGAGUGAGUGACGGUAAUGGGUAAAGAAGCACCGGCUAACUACGUG
rnacentral:rRNA from 1 species